GACGUAGGGGACGAGCGUUGUCCGGAUUCAUUGGGCGUAAAGCGCGCGUAGGCGGUCUGUCGCGUCGAUCGUGAAAACUUGGGGGCUUAACCCUGAGCUUGCGGUCGAUACGGGCAUGACUGGAGUUCGGCAGGGGAGACUGGAAUUCCUGGUGUAGCGGUGAAAUGCGCAGAUAUCAGGAGGAACACCGGUGGCGAAGGCG
rnacentral:rRNA from 1 species